rnacentral:lncRNA from 1 species
AAAAUUAAAAAAAAAUAGGCAGUUGCCACUUUGUAGAUCAUAAAUAAAAGUGAUGUUAAAAAAAUUUUAAUUGGGAGGUCAUUAAGCCGAAGCAUUCCCAGCACUUUAAGUUCCUAGGUAAGCAAACCAAAGCCCAAUGUGAACAGUAAAAUGAAACUAGAGAAGUUACCAUCAGAAACCUCCAACUAACCUCUAACUAGGGACUUUCUACUCUAACAAAUCAAAUAUGUUUUCUUUGUCUUACUUCCACGUUCCGCCUAUUAAAGCUCACUACCCAUGCUGCUGGGUAGAGCUCUCUGAACCUUUUCUGGUUCUGGGUGCUGCCCAAUUCAUGAAUCCUCUAAUGCUCACAUAAACUCUGUUAAAAGUAUUGUGUCCAGUGUUUUUCUUUUAACAGUGGCAAAAAGACUAACUUACAGGUUCCAUUUUUGUUGACUUGAAUCUUUCGACUCUGAACAAGAGGGACCCCUCACUGGAAUCUCUGUUUUUAUUAUGAUUUUUAUAUAAUGUGCUAGUUUUUACAGAAGUAAUUCAAGUGUACUCCGACAUAUAUGGCUUAAAAACUUUGAUUCAUCAGAAUAAGAGUCAUUUUCUAUUUUACACUCUACUUUCUGCUACAGAAUUAUUUCCAGUUGUCAUGUAUUAAGAUGGAACCCAAAGAAGACAUCAUCCAGCAAGUAACCUUAACAUCUGGACGCAGACAGCCCCAGCAAUCCUGGAGGAAACCUUGGAAAUACGCGGGUCAUCUUCUAUGAAGACCACAGCAGCCCUGAGAAACCAAUACAGCGUUCCAAUCUUUAAAAGAAGAGCCAAACGUCAUGCCUGGAUUAUUCCAGAAUUUUGCUGCUACGAACAAUGCUGCUAAGAUGAGUGUCUUCAAUCACUUGCACAAUUGUUUCUCUAGUCUAUAAUAUAUUCCUUGGAGUGGAGAUGCCAAGUCAUAAAUAUGUAAGAGUUCAACUUCCAUAGGCAUCACCACAACGUUUUCCAAUGUGGUUUGCGAAUGCACACUUCCACCAGCAUUCGAUUAGCAUUCCCUUUGUUCCACACACUUGUGCAUACCUGGCAUGGUCAGAGUCUAAUUUUUUCCAGUUUAGUGAAUUAAAAUGAUAUC